UGGGGCAGAGAAGUUGGAAAGAACAAAAAUACUCAAGGCAGUGAACAGCCUCCCAGGUCUCCGGCAGCAGGCAGGAAUGCCAGUGGCCUGGAGGUAUUUCCACAGGGGCCUGUUUGUGAGCAGUUUCUGAAGUUCUUUGCCCUCAUCUUGAGGGGUGGAGAAAUGACCUGCUUAUGUGGCAGGUUUGCAGGGCAGGGGGUGCAGAAUAAGAACUAGAGAAAACAAGUCAGAAAGGUAACCCCUGCUCUGUAAAUGAUUCCAAAAUAUGAAAUACUUAUUCCAAAAACUUUACUGAGCAUUCUAUAUGUGCAAGACACUGAGACAGGUGUUACAAGAAGGCAAAGAUAAAGUAGACAUAGAUUUGAGCUCAAGAAUUUCUUCGUCAAAUAGGGCAUGAGAAAGACACACAGAUACCUAUGGGAUGUAGAAAGCUCCAGUAGCUAUCCAGGAAGGUCUUCAGGAACCCCACUGCAUGACCGCAAGAGAGAACCAGCCACUGCAGGCGAGGGGAGGACGGCCUGCGCACGUGGAAUCAUUUUGGGAAGAAGGAGGAUCACCAGAGUUGGAGUCUCACCAUAUUGACCAGGCUGUCCUCAAA